UCACAACCAAUCCGUUUUCGCCGUAUUAUCCAAAAAACCCAGAAUUUAGAAUAUUUUCAUUUCCCCUUCAAUCACUUUUGCUUAUAUUGAUUUGCCCGAAAAUAACUGGUAAAAAUUCCCCUUUUUUCCGAGACUCAGCUGAUUCAGCUGUUUGAAAACUCACGAGAACUUAUUGGCACUCGGCACUACCCGGUGAUUUAGAGAACCUUAACGGUAUAAAUUGAAAGCUCUCAACCAGCGCAUUAUUGAGAAGCCUUGCACUUAGCAAAUCAACACUUGCUUCCAUUCUCCACAUUCAGCUGUUUGAAAACUCACGAGAGCUUAUUGGCAUUCGCACAUUAACCGGAAAAUUAGAUUAGAGAACUUUAACGGUAUUAAUUGAAAACUCACAACGAGCGUUUUAUUGAGAAGCCUUGCACUCAGCAAAUCAACAUUGCUUCCAUCCUCUAUAUUCAGCUGAUUCACUGCUUAAAAACUCACGAGAGCUUACUGGCACUCACACACUUCCUGGCGAUUUACAUAGAUUAGAGAACCUUAAUGGUAUAAAUUGAAAGCUCUCAACGAGCGUGUUAUUGAGAAGCCUUGCACUCAGCAAAUCAACACUUGAUUGAAUGAUAUGAAAGUUUAACCGCUAGCUUCGAAUUUCCGAUGAUCCAGCUGGCGCUUGCUGCACUUGCUAUUUAAACAACUGUUAUACGAAGACACAAUUUAGUGUGUGUUAACGUGUCUACGGUAAAAUACGGAGACAAGUUAGUAAUGGAUUACGCGUCUAAUUCUUGUACUUUUCCUAACAUUUUUGAUUCAAAGAAAGCAAAGAAAGCAGAGCUUCUGGCCUUUCUGUUGCAGUAAGACGGACAUGCAUACACGUCCAGACGUUAUUAUGUGGCAAGGACACGAGCGUGCUUUUUUUCUGUUGUCGGUACGGUUUUCCUUGGCUGGAAUAAUUGGUUGGUUGGACGCGUUGAGCUAACGGCUAUAUAGCCGACAUCCCGCUAGCACUUAAUAAAAGUUUCGUUUCAACGAUAGUGCGUUUUAACGUAGCUGCGUUGCUGAUUACAACGAUGAUUUUGUUUUGAUAGAAAAAGUUGAAGCUUUAAAAAUCAAAAUCAGAAAAAAACAAAGUGACCAAAUUCACUUGAUAUGCUGGGUUUUGUAGGCUGAGCGGGUUGUGUUGCGCGAUUCAGUCUGUCGUUGACCAGCGUUCGUGUUGCGUGCGUGGCGCAUCCAAGAAUGAGUGGCGUGACUACGUUGCAACGGCUUUUCUGUGCUUACUCGGUAGCACACAAAUAUCCUGCCAGUGAUUAAAACUGUGUGUUGGUGGGUGAAUAUGUUGUUAUUUUUUCUAGUAGCAAGCAAUAAAAUCUAAUUUUCCGCUUAUAUAAAGCUGGUUGUUUUGUUGUCAGGUGUACAGAAAUGUUUUUUAAGUGCUUUGUGUAUGUGUAGUUGAUUCUUUUGGGAAAAAUUUGCACGUGCCUACAUACGUUCCCUUCUGGAAUGUAAAGUUUCUGCAAACGUGAAUUUGUAGUAAAGCAAACAAAAAAAUUAAUAGGUUGAAAAAAAAAGUAAUUUGAAUCGUUAUUAUUGUGGCAAUUUAAAAUUUUUGGGUAAAAGAGCAUUACAUCCUUGUUAGUUCACUUUGCAUUUGACGUUGCAAUCUGCUGAUGAAGUGACAAAAUAAGUCUGAGACACAAGAUUUAUUUUAUGGAAUGAUUUAAAGUUUCAACGGCUACUUCAAGAAGGGAAGGAACAUGGAACUUUCUUUCCACUGAAUAUAGAGACAGAACCCUUCGAGAUAGCAUGAGGUGGCUGAAAUAUAAAAGAUGCCCCGAUCGGAAGUGGCAGCCAAAUGGAAAAACUUUUUCGGUUCUUUACGCGUAACUGGAACGCCGACGAUGAGCCCGCUCCAUAUAUCAUUGAAGUUUCUAGAGCCGCCUUUGCGUGCUGAAGCGAAUUUCACUUCAAAUCUAAUAAAUGACAGUCCAUCGUCAUCAAACCCUCCAACAACGUUACCGACAACAUAUGGUAAUUUUGGAAGACGUCGAGGGCAGAAAGACGAUGAUGCGUAUACUCAAGUACUUGGACGUUCGAUAGAGACCCUCACAUCAGCAACUAAAACUUAUGGUUGGGAUGAGUUAGGCAACUUAGUGUCGUCAAAUCGCCCAAAAGGAGCCCAAGAAUAUCUACAAUUAGCAAAGGAGUUCGAGCGGAACAUAUGUAUGUGAAUUGGUAUUCAACUAAUAAAAGAAGUUACCAAGCUCCACAUCAUGCAGUUGAAAUUCGCUUUUUGUUUAUGCUAGUCAAGUAAAAUGUACCUUAUCUUUUUUAUAUUUUUUCAAUGUUAGAAAGCAAAUUUUUAAGAUAUAGUAUACUAUAUUCAUUGGAAAAUUGAAUAUG